rnacentral:piRNA from 1 species
UGGGUUGAAAGGGAAACUGCCUUUGC